rnacentral:lncRNA from 1 species
CUCCCACAGAACAUGGAUGACUGCCAUCACACUGUUUAUGAUGAGUAUUGCACUUGACUGGUCGUUUGUCAUCCUUAUAAUGUGCAGAGUGCCUUUGACUGACAAACUGAAAUACAUUUUGAUUAGGCAACAUGAGCAGAAGGAGUGUGGGGAGAGGACUGUAUAAAUCUGUUUUACUCAACCUUGAAGAAAUGUUAAGUGUUAAUUCCCUGCAUCAAAUAAAGUACACCAAGUAUAUAUGCAGUGUUCCUGAGAGCUUCCUAAUGAACUGAAAAAACAAACAAUCUGAGGUGGGAAGAAGUAUAUUUCAUCAACCCCCUGAGCAGCAAUGAUUUGCCUCAGCUUGUCAUACAUACUUGAUUCUGAUUAAAAUAAGGCAAAUGAACUAGUUUAAUCUUUCUCGAUAAAGAAAUUGCAUUUGUCGUUACUAGAAUUU